rnacentral:antisense_RNA from 1 species
CUUUUCAUUCCCGUUGUUAUGGAGGGCCACAUCUGCCAGAGCCUGGAGUCUGCGAAGGCCGGGACCCGGUUCCCCGGCCCACCGUGGGGGGGGGUGUGCAAACCCGAGAGAACUGGAUUGCGUACCCACUGCAGAGUGCUGAAGACGGGGUAGCCACGAGUCAAGUCUUCACCACUUGCUGGUUCCCAGGAGUAAACUUGUCUGAACGGUGACCUAAUUGCUAUAUUCACCUAGGUUGCAAAUUCGUGAAGAAUCAGCAUCAUGUUUGGCAGCUGAGUAUUGGAGCCAGGAGCCUGCCAUGAGGUUUUGAGAACAGAGUGCUGUUUUAGAGCUGGCAGCAGCAUCUCAGCCCAAGAGAAGGUUAUAUUCCCAGAGGAUGUCAGUCCCAAGGACCAGUAGCUGCCAUCAGUUUGGAUUCUGAAAACUAACCGGCAUCAACACUGGGUGUAGAAACAUGCUUGCCUUAUGUAUCAGAGGACAUGCUCAGCAGAUCCAAGAGAUAUAUUUGGCAACUUUUUCUAGAAAAGGCACAUUGGGUAUCAUUCAUUACAUUCUUGAGUUUUUUUGGUUUUUUUUUUUUUUUUUUUUUGAGACAGUCUUGCUGUAUUGCC